AUUGAACGCUGGCGGCGGGCCUAACACAUGCAAGUCGAGCGGAUGAAGGGAGCUUUCUCCUGGAUUCAGCGGCGGACGGGUGAGUAAUGCCUAGGAAUCUGCCUUGUAGUGGGGGAUGACGUCCGGAAACGGGCGCUAAUACCGCAUACGUCCUGAUGUAGAAAGUGGGGGAUCUUCGGACCUCACGCUAUCAGCUGAGCCUAGGUCGGAUUAGCUAGUUGGUGGGGUAAGGGCCUACCAAGGCGACGAUCCGUAACUGGUCUGAGAGGAUGAUCAGUCACACUGGAACUGAGACACGGUCCAGACUCCUACGGGAGGCAGCAGUGGGGAAUAUUCGACAAUGGGCGAAAGCCUGAUCCAGCCAUGCCGCGUGUGUGAAGAAGGUCUUCGGAUUGUAAAGCACUUUAAGUUGGGAGGAAGGGCAGUAAGUUAAUACCUUGCUGUCUUGACGUUACCAACAGAAUAAGCACCGGCUAACUUCGUG
rnacentral:rRNA from 1 species